rnacentral:rRNA from 1 species
UACGUAGGUGGCAAGCGUUGUCCGGAUUUACUGGGCGUAAAGAGCGCGCAGGCGGCCAAGUCAGUCGAAUGUGAAAGCCCCCGGCUUAACUGGGGAGGGUCAUUCGAUACUGCUCGGCUCGAAGACAGGAGAGGGAAGCGGAAUUCCCGGUGUAGUGGUGAAAUGCGUAGAUAUCGGGAGAAACACCAGUGGCGAAGGCGGCUUUCUGGCCUGUUCUUGACGCUGAGGCGCGAAAGCUAGGGGAGCAAACGGG